rnacentral:rRNA from 1 species
GACAGAGGGUGCAAACGUUGUUCGGAAUUACUGGGCGUAAAGCGCGUGUAGGCGGCAUGGCAAGUCGGGUGUGAAAGCCCUGGGCUCAACCUAGGAAGUGCACUCGAAACUGCCACGCUUGAGUCUUGGAGAGGAAGGCGGAAUUCUCGGUGUAGAGGUGAAAUUCGUAGAUAUCGGGAGGAACACCGGUGGCGAAGGCGGCCUUCUGGACAAUGACUGACGCUGAGACGCGAAAGCGUGGGGAGCAAACAGG